ACUAGUGGAGAGCUGGGCUUCGAGGCGUCAGUGUGAAGGGAAGGCUAAGGACGCAUCGGUGCUGGAGAGUUGAGAAUAUGCCUUCCCCUCCACCCCCAACCCAGUCACCUUAUUUGAAAAAAAAUUAAAAAACACCUUUUAUUUAAAAACCUAACCCUGGAAGUUUGCUCGCUGACAUCAGGGGAGCAACGUGAACACAGGAAAAUGGAAAUCAACAUUUGAAACUUUUAAAUGGAAGCUUUAUUGGGGUUCCACAUAUGGAAAACUGCAAAUAGCAGAAGUAUGUGACUCAAUAAAUUAUUCUGGAGUGACCACAUCCUCUAACUGCCUCCCAGGACAAGACGGAGAAUGUGAACAAUGCUCCUGAAGGCCCCUUUCCCUCAAAGAAUCACUGCAAUUGAAGGAAAAAUGCUCCAUGUCCCCUCUGCCAGUUGGUGUUUAUCAAAGGACAACGGAGGAAGAGAGACAAAGUGCCUGGAUGUGUGUGUUAAUCAAGAGUUGUCAGGACCCUGCCUCUAAAAGAAAGCGCUAAAAUGAUGCUUUUGACAAGACUUUUCUCAAAGUGGAUGCAGUCUAAGGGUUGGAAAACAAGGCCCAAUCAGGCUAGGUCUGACUUGUCGCCUGCUUUUGUAAAUAAAGUUUUAUUGGCUCACAGACACACU
rnacentral:lncRNA from 1 species